ACGGGGGCCCGCACAAGCGGUGGAGCGUGGUUUAAUUCGAAGCAACGCGAAGAACCUUACCAGGUCUUGACAUACUCGUGCUAUCCUUAGAGAUAAGGAGUUCCUUCGGGACACGGGAUACAGGUGGUGCAUGGUUGUCGUCAGCUCGUGUCGUGAGAUGUUGGGUUAAGUCCCGCAACGAGCGCAACCCUUAUUACUAGUUGCCAUCGUUAAGUUGGGCACUCUAGUGAGACUGCCGGUGAUAAACCGGAGGAAGGUGGGGAUGACGUCAAAUCAUCAUGCCCCUUAUGACCUGGGCUACACACGUGCUACAAUGGAUGGUACAACGAGUCGCCAACCCGCGAGGGUGCGCUAAUCUCUUAAAACCAUUCUCAGUUCGGAUUGCAGGCUGCAACUCGCCUGCAUGAAGUCGGAAUCGCUAGUAAUCGCGGAUCAGCACGCCGCGGUGAAUACGUUCCCGGGCCUUGUACACACCGCCCGUCACACCACGGAAGUUGGGAGUACCCAAAGUAGGUUGCCUAACCGCAAGGAGGGCGCUUCCUAAGGUAAGACCGAUGACUGGGGGAAGUCGUAACAAGGUAGCCGUAAUCUAGA
rnacentral:rRNA from 1 species